UACGUAGGUGGCAAGCGUUGUCCGGAUUUACUGGGCGUAAAGAGCGCGCAGGCGGUCGUUCAAGUCGCGUGUGAAAGCCCCCGGCUCAACUGGGGAGGGUCACGCGAUACUGAUCGACUCGAAGGCAGGAGAGGGUAGUGGAAUUCCCGGUGUAGCGGUGAAAUGCGCAGAUAUCAGGAGGAACACCGAUGGCGAAGGCAGGAUCUCUGGGCCACUACUGACGCUGAGAAGCGAAAGCAUGGGGAGCGAACAGG
rnacentral:rRNA from 1 species